AGCAGUAUGGUGUAAGGAUGCACAUGGGAUUAAAUUGUAGCAUUCUCACAAACUUGAUCCCAAGGUCCUUGUUCGAAUCAAGGUGUUGCUG